rnacentral:rRNA from 1 species
CCUACGGGUGGCUGCAGUGAGGAAUAUUGGUCAAUGGGCGAAAGCCUGAACCAGCCAAGUCGCGUGAAGGAUGACGGAUCUCUGGUUUGUAAACUUCUUUUAUAUGGGAAUAAAGUGAGGAACGUGUUCCUUUUUGUAUGUACCAUAUGAAUAAGCAUCGGCUAACUCCGUGCCAGCAGCCGCGGUAAGACUGAGGAUGCGAGCGUUAUCCGGAUUUAUUGGGUUUAAAGGGUUCGUAGGUGGUUAAUUAAGUCAGCGGUGAAAGUUUGUGGCUCAACCAUAAAAUUGCCGUUGAAACUGUUUGACGUGAGUAUAUGUGAGGUAGGCGGAAUGCGUGGUGUAGCGGUGAAAUGCAUAGAGAUCACGCAGAACACCGAUUGCGAAGGCAGCUUACUAAACUAUAACUGACACUGAAGCACGAAAGCGUGGGGAUCAAACAGGAUUAGAUACCCUUGUAGUC